AAGGGAACUUCGAAGUUCAGUCAACAACUUCAUCGUCUCUCGCUCAUAGACCAACUGGACCACUCUGUUCUUCUCACCAAGGGCUGGUCAUGAUGUCUAAUACAACUUGUCUCCCUGCAAACUCUACCACAGACUGCCUAGACCCAGCUUCUUUUAGUUCUUCUGUGGGAUAUGCUGUGGGUCUUCCUCUGUUCUUCAUAGUUCUGGUAGUAGUGAUUGCGCUGAUCUAUACCAAGCGCAGUAAAUUGGGGAAUAUGUGGCAGUUAGAUCAACUCAAGAGCACAGAGGUCAACACACGUCAGCUUGAGGGUUCCCAAUACACGGCCAUGGUCAGACCACCACCCACUGAUCAUAGCCCUAUCUACGAGAACUUCACUGACUCCAACAAGACAACCAUCAACAUGAACAGGUCACCCGUUGAACCUGAGGACAUAUAUCUGGAGUGUGAUUUACCCGAUGAUGCAAUUUACAGCAACAACAUGUCCUGUAGCCUGGCCAUACUGCCUCCUGACACUGAAGAGGAAGAUAUUUAUAUAAUGCCAGACGUUCUAUAGUUACAGCCAUAAAGAUGACCCUAUUAAAAUCCAAACGGAGUCAUAUUUUUGUAGGACAGGAAGAGGAAUCAAAGGAGCCAAUAUGUUCUGGUGGCUUUUAUGUUUUAUCCACCUCUGAAGGAAACUUGGCCAUAUUGACAAAAACAUUUGUCUUAAUUUGAAUUUUUUGCUUUGUUUGACAGACUUAAAAGUAUGUUAUUAUGUUAUUGUACAUAUUUUAGUAAGUGCCUGCUAGGUUCAGUACAGUGCAACAACUUUUUGGGGCAAAUUUAAAUAUAAGUAGCAGUUUAGCCCAAAAUGUAAAACAUUUUUACAGUGAACUUUUUCACUCCGUAGUUAGGGAGAAGUCAAAAUUGACCCAAUUGUUACCCGGAGGGGUGUGUUGCGUAAAAGAUUGGCUGUGCUGUGUACACUGCCACUUCAGGAGGCGAGUCAAAGGCUUCUUCCCCCCCAUUAUGGGAUAUUGUGUGUAGGCCAAUGACAAAAAGUCUUCAUCCAUUUUAAAUU